AACGCACGAGACCUGCGGACCUGCGGAGGGAUCAUUACCGAGUUUACAACUCCCAAACCCCAUGUGAACAUACCUGUUUCGUUCCCUCGGCGGUGUCCGGCAACGGCCCGCCAGAGGACCCAACAAACUCUUUUGAAUUUUUCAGUAUCUUCUGAGUGAAAAAAACAAUAAAUCAAAACUUUUAACAAUGGAUCUCU
rnacentral:misc_RNA from 1 species